UCUCUCCUUGCAGCCGGGCUCUGCGGGUGCUGAGGCUGCUCUGGGCUCUGCCAGGGCUCUGCUGGGCUCUGCCCUGGGCACAGCUGGGCUGGCUCUGCCCUCACAUUGCUCUGACAGCUUUGCAUCAGACGAGCCCGUUGGAGCACAGUGCCUGAGCUUUCUGCUUUGGCAGAAGUGCCACGAGUGGGCCAAACCUGGCAAGUGAGCCGUGUUCCUGAGGCAGUGCAGUCUGGAGCUGAUGGAUGGAGAAUUGCCCUUCCCACUUCCAAACCAGAGCAAAAAGCCAGGUCCUGGCCCUCUUCCAGCCAAAGGGGAAAGGGCCCCACCAAGCCUUGUUACCCACAGACAACAUGGUAAAGCUGAACACUAAAGGACCUUGGGGGCAUUAUUCUGGAAUUAAAAAGGUGCCAGCUCCAUGGACAACAGAAUUAUUGUUCCUAACCUGAAUGAUAUUGAGCAAAAAGAAUGAAGAACGGUGUCACUAAAGUACUACUGACGUUUGCCAAAACACCUCCAGAGUUUCACCAAGGGAUCAGUCAUCAAAAUGUUUUGGAAAUUUAAAGACCAAGGUAGCCAAAGCACACAGUGUCACUAAUUGCUGGGUAUGUUCUCAGCUGAAGUUGGGAGGAAUGGGGUUCCCUUGGAGGGCCCACCCUGUGGGGUGGCCAGAACUCUGUCAAUGGGCUCAGCCUCGUAACGGAGUCAAUGAAGGGACAGUUACAGAAACCUGUGCUGUGGGACACGGGAAUACAACGAUCCGUGUGACAGGAUUCACUCAGAUUUCCCCUCAGGAGAAACCAAACCCUGUUACAGUUAUAGAGGCUACAGUGUCAGAAGAUUUCUGUGCUUUACCAUCACUCCCAAUGUCAGAAGAACUUGGGGUGCUGCAGCUGGUCAGUGUCAGUGUCACACCACUCCCAGCUGCAGGGCCCCCAUUUAGGGUCCUUCAGCAACGACCACACGGAAGACUUAGGGCCCAGAGAACAUUUUCCACCCAAAGAGUGCCUUAGGUUUCAGAAAGCAAAGGAUUCUGGUUCACCCUGUGCCCCAUGUGCGCUGCCCCGCCCCGUGGAGUUGACAUGAAUGAGCUGAAUGGAUUAUUAGAAGAGGUAGCAAAUGAUACUGUUGAAAUGUCCAUUAGCACAUCCUAUGAGCUCCAACAAACACAAAUGGGGACUCCAGAGAACCGCAUGGCCUUGGAUUAUCUGCUUGCUGGCCAAGGAGGAACCUGGGCUAUCAGGGGACGGGGAUGUUGCACUGCUAGCAGUGAUGGGUUUGAAGGCCAACAGUCAGGAAUCACCUUGACAGAAAGAGCAGUAGAAGAGUGGCAGAAAGAAGAAAAUUCUUCUUGGUGGGAUUUGCUUUGUGGCUGCCAAAUUAGAGGCUGCUGUGAAAUGCAUUCAUGUCAGGGCCUGUCAUCAUUGCAGUGUGUGCACUUGGUGAGUUGCUGUGACACUUUGUGCUGGGAAGUGGAGUAUUGGGACCUUUCUUAAAAGAGACAGUCUCAAGAAAAGAGAGGCAUUUGAUAAAUAACAGAGAAUAGCAACUAUUUAGGCAUGUUUUAAAAGGAACGUGAAUAGCUCUGAGUAAUGAAGUUAAACUGCACUUAAUUGUAGAACAAGAGGAGAUGCCUUUAUGCCUAAUACCUCAAUCUAAGCUGUGUUACUGAAAGAAUUAUUACAAAGGUUGUAGUUGAUUGUAGGUCUCAGGACCGAUCAAAGUACCAAGGCCUGAACAGGUUGUGAUCAAGGCCUGAACAGGCCCUGAGGCAAAGCUCACCUCUAGAUGAACCUUCCAAGCAAAUGUUGUAUUUGUAUCCACUCAUUAAGGAAGCAUGAUUAACAACAUGAUCAAUGCAUGUGUUCCUUGAUAAAACAUGGAUUUGUCUUUCUGUAUUUAGAAACAGACAAGGCCCCAUCUGGCCUUGUUUGGGGGUGAAGGAUCAAAGUCAACUCCCUUGGUUCCUCCUUCAGCCCUGGCCAGGCUUUGGGAGAAAGCAGUCAGGAGAAUGAAAGCAGAUGUUCUCACAGUAGCAGUGAUGCCAGCUUGUUUGUUUAACAGUGUAAAAGCUGGGUCCUCUCACAGCUCUAGGGUUGGAGCCUCAUUGCUUGCAGAGGUGGAGGCACCUGCAGGAAGUCUGGGAGUGGCUCUCCAGUCCUUGGCUUCCCCCAGCUGAUGUUUGGCUGUGGAUGAUGGUAAAGCCUGAGGCUAACUGCUGAUGGAUCUUUCCUUAAUCACUCCAGGCAAUCUCUGGUAGCAAUGACUGGAUGCAUUGCUGAGCUUCUUUUGUAAUGCUUUGCUAAUGAUGAUGUGCUUUGCUGAGCUUAUCCUUUUGUAAUUCUUUGCAGCUGUGCAUGAUAUAAAUGACACAAUUCCUUCA